rnacentral:rRNA from 1 species
ACGGGAGGCAGCAGUGGGGAAUAUUGCACAAUGGGGGGAACCCUGAUGCAGCAACGCCGCGUGAAGGAAGACGGUUUUCGGAUUGUAAACUUCUAUCAAUAGGGAAGAAAGAGAUGACGGUACCUAAAUAAGAAGCCCCGGCUAACUACGUGCCAGCAGCCGCGGUAAUACGUAGGGGGCAAGCGUUAUCCGGAAUUACUGGGUGUAAAGGGAGAGUAGGCGGCAUGGUAAGCAAUAUGUGAAAGCCUCGGGCUUAACCUGAGGAUUGCAUAAUGAACUAUCAAGCUAGAGUACAGGAGAGGAAAGCGGAAUUCCUAGUGUAGCGGUGAAAUGCGUAGAUAUUAGGAAGAACACCAGUGGCGAAGGCGGCUUUCUGGACUGGAAACUGACGCUGAGGCUCGAAAGCGUGGGGAGCGAACAGGAUUAGAUACCCUGGUA